rnacentral:rRNA from 1 species
GACGAACGCUGGCGGCGUGCUUAACACAUGCAAGUCGAACGGAAAGGCCCUGCGUUUGUGGGGUGCUCGAGUGGCGAACGGGUGAGUAACACGUGAGUAACCUGCCCUUGACUUUGGGAUAACUUCAGGAAACUGGGGCUAAUACCGGAUAGGAGCUCCUGCUGCAUGGUGGGGGUUGGAAAGUCUCGGCGGUUGGGGAUGGACUCGCGGCUUAUCAGCUUGUUGGUGGGGUAGUGGCUUACCAAGGCUUUGACGGGUAGCCGGCCUGAGAGGGUGACCGGCCACAUUGGGACUAAGAGACGGCCCAGACGCCUACGGGGGGCAGCAGGGGGGAAUAUGGCACAAUGGGCGGAAGCCUGAGGCAGCAGCGCCGCGUUCGGGAUGACGGCCUUCGGGUUGUAAACCGCUUUCGCCUGUGACGAAGCGUGAGUGACGGUAAUGGGUAAAGAAGCACCGGCUAACUACGUG